AAGUGGUGGGGGAGGCACAUACGUGCUUGGGAGCUCUCUCCCCCGGCACCCACAUGGAGGAGACACCAAGGGGACUUCCGGCCAGGAGAUGGACAUCUGAGGUGGACCUCACUCACCUGAACAGCUGCUGGGGCUUCGGAGCCAGAGAUGGAAGUGAUCUAGCCCUGGUUCAGAAAGAUGACCUCCCGCCAGGCCUCUCUAUGCAGCCCAGAGAAUUCCCCCACCCACAUACUGCAGUGGAGUCCCCCCCAGGGAUGUAAGGCUCUUUGGGAUCUCAGAAACAUGGGCGCUGGUGUUGAGGCAGUGCUCAGACAGCCAUGACUGGCCCCCAUAUGAACUAAAUAAAUUGGCGGAGGAGAUUGUAUACAUGUGUGUUUGUGUCCUUGGUGUUUUACUGGGCC